rnacentral:lncRNA from 1 species
GAGUAUCGAUCUCGUGAUAGUGUUGUUCUUCACACCUCGAUCAUUUUUUGGAUCAUCGAUAGAAAUUCUUUAGUCAUAUUUGUAGUUGUCUCACACCAGACACUCAUGUGACUCUAGAGAUUCUAUCGUAUAUCCAAAUUUUGAUUGUCGCCAUAUGAUUGUGUAUCAUACCCUGUCAUGUGUUGAGUUGUGUUGUAUCAUGCAUUGGUCAUUGUUCGUUACAUCUCGUGUCGUUGCAUGAGUCGUGUUUGAGUCGUUUUGUUUGAUUCUUUUGUAGGAGUCUAUUUGUAGUCCCAGUCUUGGUUCAGUGCCCUGGGUUGAGUCGGAGGUUGAUUCGUAUUGCUGAGUUGCUAUAGACGGAUUCACAGUCAUUUUCGAUUGGCUAGCUUAUCGCUUCUGUGGUUUCGAUUCAGGGGGCAUUGACCAGUUUGAGUUAGAGGAUGGAUAGUCAGCCGAGUAGGCAUGUAGUGCUUGAGGACACACCAUCUGAUUUAGUG